rnacentral:rRNA from 5 species
AGGGAUCAUUACCGAGUUUACAACUCCCAAACCCCUGUGAACAUACCUAUACGUUGCCUCGGCGGAUCAGCCCGCGCCCCGUAAAACGGGACGGCCCGCCCGAGGACCCCUAAACUCUGUUUUUAGUGGAACUUCUGAGUAAAACAAACAAAUAAAUCAAAACUUUCAACAACGGAUCUCUUGGUUCUGGCAUCGAUGAAGAACGCAGCAAAAUGCGAUAAGUAAUGUGAAUUGCAGAAUUCAGUGAAUCAUCGAAUCUUUGAACGCACAUUGCGCCCGCCAGUAUUCUGGCGGGCAUGCCUGUUCGAGCGUCAUUUCAACCCUCAAGCUCAGCUUGGUGUUGGGACUCGCGGUAACCCGCGUUCCCCAAAUCGAUUGGCGGUCACGUCGAGCUUCCAUAGCGUAGUAAUCAUACACCUCGUUACUGGUAAUCGUCGCGGCCACGCCGUUAAACCCCAACUUCUGAAUGUUGACCUCGGAUCAGGUAGGAAUACCCGCUGAACUUAA